UACAGAGGUCUCAAGCGUUGUUCGGAUUCAUUGGGCGUAAAGGGCGCGUAGGCGGCGGGGUAAGUCGGGUGUGAAAUCUCAGAGCUCAACUCUGAAACUGCACUCGAUACUGCUCUGCUUGAGGACUGGAGAGGAGACUGGAAUUCACGGUGUAGCAGUGAAAUGCGUAGAUAUCUGGAGGAAUACCGGUGGCGAAGGCGGCAUCCUGGACCGGCAUUGACGCUGAGGAGCGAAAGCCAGGGGAGCAAACGGG
rnacentral:rRNA from 1 species